ACUGCUCAGUAACACGUUGAUAAUCUAACCUUUGGUCUGGGAUAACCUCGGGAAACUGAGGCUAAUACCGGAUAGGAAACCAGUUCUGGAAAGAGGGAUUUCCUAAAGGCAACGCCAGAGGAUGAGUCAGCGGCAGAUUAGAUUGUUGGUGGGGUAAAGGCCCACCAAGUCUACGAUCUGUAGGGGCCUUGAGAGAGGGAGCCCCGAGAAGGGAACUGAGACACGGUCCCUAGCCCUACGGGGUGCAGCAGGCGCGAAAACUCUACAAUGCACGAAAGUGUGAUAGGGGGAUCCUGAGUGCUCAGCUUUGCUGGGCUUUUGCCAAGAUUAAAACCCUUGGCGAAUAAGUGGUGGGUAAGACUGGUGCCAGCCGCCGCGGUAACACCAGCGCCACGAGUGGCAAUCGUUUUUAUUGGGCCUAAAGCGUCCGUAGCAGGUCUUGUAAAUCUCUUGUGAGAUUGUUCAGCUCAACUGAACAACGUGCUCGAGACACUGCAUGACUAGGGACCGGGAGGAGUCAGAGGUAUUCAAUGGGGAGCGGUAAAAUGCUAUAAUCCAUUGAGGACCACCUAUAGCGAAGGCAUCUGACCAGAACGGAUCCGACUGUGAGGGACGAAAGCCAGGGGAGCGAACCGGAUUAGAUAUCAAAAAUCUCGGAUUUUUGAGUUUAGUCAAAAAUCAUCUUAGUUCAUCGUGAACAUACUACUUAUGGAUGAUUGGAAACUGAAUUUGGAGACAAUCCAAGAUCGGGAUUUUUGACUAAUUACCCGAGUAGUCCUGGCCGUAAACGCUGCGAGCUAGGUGUUGCGCAAUCUUCGAGAUUGUGCAGUAUCGAAGCGAAAGGUGUUAAGCUCGCCGCCUGGGAAGUACGGUCGCAAGGCUGAAACUUAAAGGAAUUGGCGGGGGAGCC
rnacentral:rRNA from 1 species